AAGUCGUAACAAGGUUUCCGUAGGUGAACCUGCGGAAGGAUCAUCGUUGUUGAUACCUGUGGGUUUUUUUCCAGAUCCCAACCAAAAGGAGAGAGGCGUUGACUGAGGUUUGUUUUGGAGAGAGAAAAAAGGACAAAACUUUCAACAACGGAUCUCUUGGCUCUCA
rnacentral:misc_RNA from 1 species